rnacentral:rRNA from 1 species
UACGUAGGGGGCUAGCGUUGUCCGGAUUUAUUGGGCGUAAAGAGCGUGUAGGCGGCCAGGUAGGUCUGCUGUGAAAACUCGAGGCUCAACCUCGAGACGUCGGCGGAAACCAUCUGGCUAGAGUCCGGAAGAGGAGAGUGGAAUUCCUGGUGUAGCGGUGAAAUGCGCAGAUAUCAGGAAGAACACCCGUGGCGAAGGCGGCUCUCUGGGACGGUCCUGACGCUGAGACGCGAAAGCGUGGGGAGCGAACAGG